rnacentral:rRNA from 1 species
AAAAACAUCGCCUCUUGCUUCAGUGAAUAAGAGGUCACGCCUGCCCUGUGACUAUAUGUUUAACGGCCGCGGUAUUUUGACCGUGCAAAGGUAGCGCAAUCACUUGUCCUUUAAAUGUGGACCUGUAUGAAUGGCAUAACGAGGGCUUAGCUGUCUCCUUUCUCAAGUCAAUGAACUUGAUCUCCCCGUGCAGAAGCGGGGAUAAAACCAUAAGACGAGAAGACCCUAUGGAGCUUUAGACAAAAAACAGCCCCUGUCAAUAAACCCUAAAUAAAGGAAAUAAACCUAGUGACCCUGUUUUAAUGUCUUUGGUUGGGGCGACCGCGGGGUAACAAAAAACCCCCAUGUGGAAUGAAAACACCCUUUUUAAAACCAAGAGUCACCACUCUAAGUUACAGAACAUCUGACCAAUAAUGAUCCGGCUAAAGCCGAUUAACGAACCGAGUUACCCUAGGGAUAACAGCGCAAUCCUCUUUUAGAGUCCAUAUCGACAAGAGGGUUUACGACCUCGAUGUUGGAUCAGGACAUCCCAAUGGUGCAGCCGCUAUAAA